CCUACGGGAGGCAGCAGUGAGGAAUAUUGGUCAAUGGGCGUAAGCCUGAACCAGCCAAGUCGCGUGCGGGAUGAAGGUUCUAUGGAUCGUAAACCUCUUUUAUAAGGGAAUAAAGUGCGGCACGUGUCCCUUUUUGUAUGUACCUUAUGAAUAAGGAUCGGCUCACUCCGGGCCAGCAGCCGCGUUGAUACGGGGGAACCGCGCGUUAUCCGGAGUUUUUGGGUUUAAGGGGGGCGUAGUCGGCCUUUUAAGGCAGGGGUGAAAGUCUGUGGCUCAACCAUAGAAUUGCCGUUGAAACUGGGAGGCUUGAGUAUGUUUAAGGCAGGCGGAAUGCGUGGUGUAGCGGUGAAAUGCUUAGAUAUCACGCAGAACCCCGAUUGCGAAGGCAGCCGGCCAAGCCAUGACUGACGCUGAGGCACGAAAGCGUGGGGAUCAAACAGGAUUAGAUACCCGUGUAGUC
rnacentral:rRNA from 1 species